CCCUCCUCCCUGGCAGAACAUGAGACUCAGAAAGUCCUUGGUCAGAGUAAACAUUACUGAACAGCAACUAAAAACAUCGGUGUUAUCAUCUGUGGUGUGAUAACAGAAUUUAGUAGUCUUACUAUCAAGAGUGAAUUAUUUCUUUCCAUUCUUCUAAUGAGUGAAUUAUUUCUUACCAUCCUUCUAAUGAGUGAAUUAUUUCUUACCAUCCUUCUAAUUAUCAGUUCGUUUGGAGACAGCGAUUCCUGAACAUCUGCUAGCUUAGGAUACUCCUUGUCUGCCCAUCCUGUUCUGCUUGCAACAAAUUUUGUACAAAGGUCACACUGUUCUAAAUCUUUGCCAGCUAUCAGAAACUUGCAGAUACAGUUGGUUUCAGCUAAUUUGUGAUUACUGGGGCAUCCAACUGUGCCAAAGGUGAAAAGUGCACCCUGAGGAAGACUGCUUACUUCAUCUUGAAGACCCCUGCCCACGACCAUCAGAAGGCAGUGCUCAAGCGCCAAAAGGGAGGAGACUUAUGAUAAUGAGUACCUGAACUAAUUGUAAUAUCCCCACAGCUCUCUCGGGAACCUAAUGAAUAUGCAUGUUUGUGUGUAAUAAAUAUCUGCUUGCUUAACCCCUCUGUGUGCAGCUUAGGAGGAGUGAGCCCCCUUGCACCCCGCACCAUAAUAAACAUACCUGCUUUAUAACUCU